AACAAACGCUGGCGGCGCGUUUUAAGCAUGCAAGUCGGACGGCAAGAGCUGUAGCAAUAUGGCUCCUAGAGUGGCGAACGGGUGAGUAACACGUAGGUGAUCUGCCCUUGGAUGGGGGAUAGUCCGUGGAAACACGGGGUAAUACCGCAUGAGGCCUUGUGGGUAGAGCCAUGAGGUGAAAGGUGCAAUUGCACCGUCUGGGGAUGAGCCUGCGGUCCAUUAGGCAGUUGGCGGGGUAAGGGCCCACCAAGCCUACGAUGGAUAGCCGGCCUGAGAGGGUGUACGGCCACACUGGAACUGAGACACGGUCCAGACUCCUACGGGAGGCAGCAGCUAAGAAUCUUCCGCAAUGGGGGAAACCCUGACGGAGCGACGCCGCGUGGACGAUGGAGGCCGUAAGGUUGUAAAGUCCUUUUCCUGGUGAAGAAUGACUGUGGGAGUGGAAAGCCCAUGGGAUGACGUUAGCCAGGGAAUAAGCCCCGGCCAAUUACGUGCCAGCCGCCGCUGUAAUAC
rnacentral:rRNA from 1 species